UUCUCCAACAGAGUUAAGAAAGUUGGGAAGAUGUCCACUGACUCCAGAAUAAGCAGCACUGGUCCUAUCUAGACUUGGUUUUAAGCGUUGAACUUACAUUUAUUUGGCUGGUUCUCAUAUUUAUGGAGAAAAAUCCAGGAUGGAUUCCUUCACCAGCCUCUAUCCCAAUUUGGUCACAAAGGAAACCAUUCUAACUCCCAAUGAACAUGCACCUUUUAGAAAUUUCUCUUCUCAGGGCUCUGUGGGUUCUCUCCCAGUUUAGAUGGUUGCUUCUUAGCUCUUCUUGCCAGCAUCACCAAAGGGUCUGUGUUGUUCUACAAUGUCAUGGAGCUACAAUCACAUUGUGAGAUAGAUGCUCAUCGUGCACCUCUGGCUGCAAUUGUCGGAUGUUCCAAUGGGAUGUACAUAGCAACUGCUUCUGAACAGGGAACCAUAAUCAGAGUCCAUUUGGUUUAUGAUGCAACUAAGGUGGGAGUGGCACAACAUCCAUUCAUUAGGACUUCAUACAUGUAUCUAUGGUACUUGAUUUAUCUAUUUAAAUCAGGUUUCCAGAGGCUGCCAUUACAGAUGGUCCACAAGAAAGGCAGAAAGCACAUUGAAUCCAAUGUGGCCCUCACUUUAGAGCUCAUAAGAAAAUUAAUUACUAAAAAUUCUUCACCUCAAUCAGUAGUAUUUGAGAAAAACCUAACAAGAGAGAAUGAAAUUCGGAAGAGGGAGGAUGCUUUAUUACUGCGUGAGUAUGAAGCUCAAAAAGAAAAGGACAAACUAAUAGAGAGAGAAAAUGUUGAAGAAGCAAGAGGACGAACUUCAAAGAAGGAUAGUAGAGAAUAGGGUUGUACGUAUAUUGUUGUGUCUAUAUUGGAUUGUAUCUCCUAUAAUAGUUUUUGGUUGGUUCUAAAUGUAGAUGUAUGAUGUUAGUUUUAAAUGCAAAUUGAAUGAUCGGAUCCUUACAUGUAUGAUAUAUUAUCUAUGAAGUCGAAUUAUGACAGCUUAUAUGGAUAUUCAGUUCAAUGUACUGCAUGG